AGCGAACAUUGGCGGUAGGCUUAACACAUGCAAGUCGAGCGAGGCUACGAGCCGAGCGGCGAACGGGUGAGUAAUACGUUGGAAUCUGCCCUGGAGUGGGGAAUAACCAGCAGAAAUGCUGGCUAAUGCCGCAUAAUCCAUAUUGGGAAAGCGCUUAGCGCUCUAGGAUGAGCCAACGGCUGAUUAGCUAGUUGGUGGGGUAACGGCCCACCAAGGCAACGAUCGGUAACUGGUCUGAGAGGAUGAUCAGUCACACUGGAACUGAGACACGGUCCAGCACCCUACGGGAGGCAGAAGGUGGGAAUCUUGCGCAAUGGGGGCAACCCUGACGCAGCCAUGCCGCGUGUGUGAAGAAGGCCUUAUGGUUGUAAAGCACUUUAAGCGAGGAGGAGGCUCUUUUGGUUAAUACCCAAGAUGAGUGGACGUUACUCGCAGAAUAAGCACCGGCUAACUCUGUGCCAGCAGCCGCCGUAA
rnacentral:rRNA from 1 species